AAAUUGAAGAGUUUGAUCAUGGCUCAGAUUGAACGCUGGCGGCAGGCCUAACACAUGCAAGUCGAACGGUAACAGGAAGCAGCUUGCUGCUUUGCUGACGAGUGGCGGACGGGUGAGUAAUGUCUGGGAAACUGCCUGAUGGAGGGGGAUAACUACUGGAAACGGUGGCUAAUACCGCAUAAUGUCGCAAGACCAAAGAGGGGG
rnacentral:rRNA from 2 species